rnacentral:lncRNA from 1 species
GUCGUUUGUUAAUGUGUUACAUAUUUGUUUUUCGUUCAUUUUUGUUACAUAAAUAAGGCCGUUAGUUUUCUCGUUUGAAUUGUUUUACAUUGUCUUAUCGGGGCCUUUUAUAUCUGACUAUGCGGUAUGGGCUUUGCUCAUUGUUGAAGGCCGUACGGUGACCUACAGUUGUUAAUGUCUGUGUCAUUUUGGUCUUUUGUGGAUAGUUGUCUCAUUGGCAAUCAUACCACAUCUUUAUUUUUAUA